rnacentral:rRNA from 1 species
AAAUUGAAGAGUUUGAUCAUGGCUCAGAUUGAACGCUGGCGGCAGGCCUAACACAUGCAAGUCGAGCGGUAGCACAGAGAGCUUGCUCUCGGGUGACGAGCGGCGGACGGGUGAGUAAUGUCUGGGAAACUGCCUGAUGGAGGGGGAUAACUACUGGAAACGGUAGCUAAUACCGCAUAAUGUCGCAAGACCAAAGUGGGGGACCUUCGGGCCUCAUGCCAUCAGAUGUGCCCAGAUGGGAUUAGCUAGUAGGUGGGGUAACGGCUCACCUAGGCGACGAUCCCUAGCUGGUCUGAGAGGAUGACCAGCCACACUGGAACUGAGACACGGUCCAGACUCCUACGGGAGGCAGCAGUGGGGAAUAUUGCACAAUGGGCGCAAGCCUGAUGCAGCCAUGCCGCGUGUGUGAAGAAGGCCUUCGGGUUGUAAAGCACUUUCAGCGGGGAGGAAGGCGUUAAGGUUAAUAACCUUGGCGAUUGACGUUACCCGCAGAAGAAGCACCGGCUAACUCCGUGCCAGCAGCCGCGGUAAUACGGAGGGUGCAAGCGUUAAUCGGAAUUACUGGGCGUAAAGCGCACGCAGGCGGUCUGUCAAGUCGGAUGUGAAAUCCCCGGGCUUAACCUGGGAACUGCAUUCGAAACUGGCAGGCUAGAGUCUUGUAGAGGGGGUAGAAUUCCAGGUGUAGCGGUGAAAUGCGUAGAGAUCUGGAGGAAUACCGGUGGCGAAGGCGGCCCCUGGACAAAGACUGACGCUCAGGUGCGAAAGCGUGGGGAGCAAACAGGAUUAGAUACCCUGGUAGUCCACGCCGUAAACGAUGUCGAUUUGGAGGUUGUGCCCUUGAGGCGUGGCUUCCGGAGCUAACGCGUUAAAUCGACCGCCUGGGGAGUACGGCCGCAAGGUUAAAACUCAAAUGAAUUGACGGGGGCCCGCACAAGCGGUGGAGCAUGUGGUUUAAUUCGAUGCAACGCGAAGAACCUUACCUGGUCUUGACAUCCACAGAACUUUCCAGAGAUGGAUUGGUGCCUUCGGGAACUGUGAGACAGGUGCUGCAUGGCUGUCGUCAGCUCGUGUUGUGAAAUGUUGGGUUAAGUCCCGCAACGAGCGCAACCCUUAUCCUUUGUUGCCAGCGGUCCGGCCGGGAACUCAAAGGAGACUGCCAGUGAUAAACUGGAGGAAGGUGGGGAUGACGUCAAGUCAUCAUGGCCCUUACGACCAGGGCUACACACGUGCUACAAUGGCAUAUACAAAGAGAAGCGACCUCGCGAGAGCAAGCGGACCUCAUAAAGUAUGUCGUAGUCCGGAUUGGAGUCUGCAACUCGACUCCAUGAAGUCGGAAUCGCUAGUAAUCGUAGAUCAGAAUGCUACGGUGAAUACGUUCCCGGGCCUUGUACACACCGCCCGUCACACCAUGGGAGUGGGUUGCAAAAGAAGUAGGUAGCUUAACCUUCGGGAGGGCGCUUACCACUUUGUGAUUCAUGACUGGGGUGAAGUCGUAACAAGGUAACCGUAGGGGAACCUGCGGUUGGAUCACCUCCUUA